GAUGAACGCUGGCGGCGUGCCUAAUACAUGCAAGUCGAGCGAACAGAUGAGGAGCUUGCUCCUCUGACGUUAGCGGCGGACGGGUGAGUAACACGUGGAUAACCUACCUAUAAGACUGGGAUAACUUCGGGAAACCGGAGCUAAUACCGGAUCAUAUAUUGAACCGCAUGGUUCAAUAGUGAAAGACGGUUUUGCUGUCACUUAUAGAUGGAUUCGCGCCGCAUUAGCUAGUUGGUAAGGUAACGGCUUACCAAGGCAACGAUGCGUAGCCGACCUGAGAGGGUGAUCAGCCACACUGGAACUGAGACACGGUCCAGACUCCUACGGGAGGCAGCAGUAGGGAAUCUUCCGCAAUGGGCGAAAGCCUGACGGAGCAACGCCGCGUGAGUGAUGAAGGUCUUCGGAUCGUAAAACUCUGUUAUUAGGGAAGAACAAAUGUGUAAGUAACUAUGCACGUCUUGACGGUACCUAAUCAGAAAGCCACGGCUAACUACGUG
rnacentral:rRNA from 1 species